rnacentral:rRNA from 1 species
GGACGAACGCUGGGCGGCGUGCUUAACACAUGCAAGUCGAACGGUAAGGCCCUUCGGGGUACACGAGUGGCGAACGGGUGAGUAACACGUGGGUGAUCUGCCCUGCACUUCGGGAUAAGCUUGGGAAACUGGGUCUAAUACCGGAUAGGACCACGGUCUGCAUGGAUUGUGGUGGAAAGCUUUUGCGGUGUGGGAUGGGCCCGCGGCCUAUCAGCUUGUUGGUGGGGUGAUGGCCUACCAAGGCGACGACGGGUAGCCGGCCUGAGAGGGUGUCCGGCCACACUGGGACUGAGAUACGGCCCAGACUCCUACGGGAGGCGGCAGUGGGGAAUAUUGCACAAUGGGCGCAAGCCUGAUGCAGCGACGCCGCGUGGGGGAUGACGGCCUUCGGGUUGUAAACCUCUUUCAGCAGGGACGAAGGGUGACUGACGGUACCUGUAGAAGAAGCACCGGCCAACUACGUG